rnacentral:tRNA from 1 species
UCCAGGGUAGCCUAGUGGACAUGGCAUCUGCCCGGUAAGCGGAACAUUGUGGGUUCGCUUCCCAUCCCUGGAC